rnacentral:rRNA from 1 species
UACGUAGGGGGCGAGCGUUGUCCGGAGUUACUGGGCGUAAAGCGCACGCAGGCGGUCUGCUAAGUUUGGAGUGACAGUUGGUGGCUUAACUGCCAAAGUGCUUCGAAAACUGACAGACUUGAGGGCUUCAGAGGGACACGGAAUUCCGGGUGGAGUGGUGAAAUGCGUAGAGAUCCGGAGGAACACCGAUGGCGAAAGCAGGUGACUGGACCACUAUUGACACUGAGCCACGAAAGCUAGGGGAGCAAACAGG